AGUUUUAUAGUUUAAUUAAAAUAUCAGACUGCAAUUCUGAAGAUACAUGUAAUGUUGAAGCUC
rnacentral:tRNA from 1 species